rfam:Lasius niger Lnig_2.1_31980, whole genome shotgun sequence.
AAAACAGUCCUUUUCAGGACUACUAAUUUUUAAAACGUCAGGAAA